rfam:Musa acuminata subsp. malaccensis Doubled-haploid Pahang (DH-Pahang) genomic chromosome, chr3
AUGCACGGUGCACCCCGGGCUUCUCUGAAAGUCGUAUGACGAUCGAGGCCCCAAUGCCCGUGCGAGAUUGAGUUUCCGUUCGGUGUUUCAGUUCGGUUGAUGGUAUCCCACGACUGAUCUGUGUCAGUGACGGCCAAAUUU